rnacentral:lncRNA from 1 species
GACCUAAAACCCUCAACCAAACCAUUAUUAAGUUGAUAAGCGUGAGAGUGCUUUGAACACUCUGUCGUGGCCUUCCACCAUGGUAGCUCCAAUCAUUUAUGACUUGUACACCGCCUUCACCCUAUCAUGGGGGAGUGCAAAGUGCAUGCUUAUACUCAGGAGGAGUCUAUAUACAUACUUGAUGAGGUGAGUGUAGGCAACGAGGAUGACCGAUAUCAUAUCAUUGUGAGGCUAUUCUUGAACCCCUUCAUGAACUAAGCAUGGUGGGAAUGACUUAACUAAGUGCAAUGGAACCAAUAUCAUAUCAUUGUGAGGUUACAUUCUCUAGAGGCCAAAUAAGAUGGGUACUUGCAAGAGAUGCAAAUGAG